GGAUGAGCCUGCGUCCUAUUAGUUAGUUGGUGAGGUAACGGCUUACCAAGGCGAUGAUAGGUAGGCGGCCUUAACGGGUGGUCGCCCACACUGGGAUUGAGAUACGGCCCAGACUCCUACGGGAGGCAGCAGUCGAGAAUAGUCUACAAUGGACGGAAGUCUGAUAGUGCGACGCCGCGUGAACGAAGAAUCCCUUCGGGGUGUAAAGUUCUUUUAUACGUGAGCAGUGUCCUUUAUAUUAAUAGUAUAAGGGGAGAGAUAUUAGCGUAUGAAUAAGCAACGGCUAACUCCGUGCCAGCAGCCGCGGUAACACGGGGGUUGCGAGCGUUGUCCGGAAUUACUAGGCGUAAAGUGCAGGUAGGCGGAUAAAUAAGUUUAAGGUUAAAGGCUACGGCUUACCCGUAGUAAGGCGUUAGAUACUGUUUAUCUGGAAUGCGGUUGAGGGAGACAGAAUUCCUGGUGUAGCGGUGGAAUGCGCAGAGAUCAGGAGGAAUACCGAAGGCGAAGGCAGUCUUCUAAGCCGAUAUUGACGCUAAACUGCGAAGGUGUGGGGAUCAAACARGAUUAGAUACCCUGGUAGUCCACACAGUAAACGAUWWUCUCUAGGUGUUGG
rnacentral:rRNA from 1 species